UACAGAGGUCUCAAGCGUUGUUCGGAUUCAUUGGGCGUAAAGGGUGCGUAGGCGGCGCGGUAAGUCGGGUGUGGAAAUCUCGGAGCUUAACUCCGAAACUGCAUUCGAUACUGCCGUGCUUGAGGACUGGAGAGGAGACUGGAAUUUACGGUGUAGCGGUGAAAUGCGUAGAUAUCGUAAGGAAGACCAGUGGCGAAGGCGGGUCUCUGGACAGUUCCUGACGCUGGAGCACGAAGGUCAGGGGAGCAAACGGG
rnacentral:rRNA from 1 species